GAGAGAAGAGAGAGAGAGGAGAGGCGAGGACCCGGGGGUGGGGGUGAAUUACUUAUUUUUGUAGAUAGUUACAUGAAACCCCUCAUCCUUGGGGGUGGGGGGUGGGGGUUAAAUACCGAUUUAUGGUAAUGCGUACCACUCUUUCUGUGAUCCUUUCUAAGUAUAGACUGGAACACGGGAGCAGUCCACAUCCCACCUCUUGAAAAGACGAUGUUUAGGCAUAACAAAAAAGUAAAACACAUGGGUUCAUUUGUAUUUAUAUUGUUUGUGCUGCAAUGUAAUUUCUGCUUGGACAUUUACAAGAAAGAAGCUAAAAACCCUAAUAGAAAAGAAAUUGGGUAAAAUUACAGUGAGUCCAGUGAGGUUGUGACUAUACAUUAAUAUCCCUAAGGUUCAGAAAAUUAUAUUCCUCCUCAAGGUUUAAUCCGGAUUACAGUUCUCCACGCUGUACUCAACGGUAGUCUAACAAAAAUUGUUGUCAUCAGUUGUUACAUUUUGUGAAAUAGCUAUUAGCCUUAAUCCAGCUUUAAACUCUAGCCCUACGACACCAUCUUAAAAAAUAAACUCCAUUCCCUACACACUUCAUACCUUUUUGAACCCCAUGAAAAUCUCUCGAACCCAACUACCAGAACACCAACGAGGGGCACCUCCACCUCAGUGCCAUAACCACUGUUACCAUCAGCAGCGCGAUAACCGCCAUCUCCAUCGCCAGCAACCACUUCAUAUUCAACUACCAAGUGCUUGUGAUUUUCUCCUCUUCCCCAGCGAUUGUCCCCUCUUCUGUCUUCCCUGACUGAUGGUCUCUCUCAAUCCCUUCUCAAACAGGAAUCUCCCCGUUUCUUAUCUAAACCCCGUAACCACCACUUCUAACGUUUUUUUCUUUUGGCCCUCACCCCCACCCCCCCUCUUUGAUUUAUAUGACAGUAUCUCCCUUCUUUCUCUCAUUAAGUUCGGGGAGAGAUUGAAGUUGUAGGGUUAGGAGGUGACAGGAGUGUGAUUAUUUGCCGAAGGUGAGAUUGAGGGUCUGUUCAGAGUGGAAAGAGGGUCGGCAUUCAUUGGAGUAACCGGAGAUGGUGUUGUACGGCGGCAGUGGUGGUUGGGAGAUCAAGAGGCGCUUCAGUGGUGCUGUGGUGGGUUUUUGGGCCUUUUUUUCUGGUUAUGUGGUUUGAUUCGGGGGCUUUGAAUUGGGGAUUUGCUGUGCAUAUUCUCUAGAGGUGGUCUUCUGCUCCUUCUCUAGGAGGAGACUGAGAACUUGUGAUAGUUGCAAAGGGAGCUGUGUCGGUGUGUUGCCAGGUUGGGGUAGGUGGAAGAGUGAAGGCAAAGGGGGGAUGAAGAAGGAGAGUUAAAACCAGAGGGCAAACAAGUAGUGUCAUUAUUUUCUGUUUACAGGGUUUUAGGAAAACCUCUGACAUGGGAGGGCAGUGUAAUUCCAGAACGUGAGGGGGAAAAAUAUAUGUGACAUCCAUCUGGGAGGUCAUGUUAUUUUAAGCAGAAGUUUUAUGGAAAGUAGGCAUUGAUGAUACAGUAUAAAUGUUGGAGCUGCUACUUUGAAAACAUGGGUUGAGUUGAAAGUAGUCAGUCCAGUAAUGUAGAGGUUUGGGCCUUGAACUGUUUGUGACAUAGCAACCUACUCGUCGUAUAGCAUUGAUUGGCUCUCGAAAAAGAUUCUUUAUUAUUAGGUUCUUGUUUAGAGUUCUCUUUCAAUUUGAGAGGAUUUCUGUUCCUUUCUCUGUUUUUAUUUCGGAGGUGAGUGGGAUGUCCUUUCCUGUUUUUGUAUGGUUCCGUUUGUUGGCUUUUUGAGAGUUGUAUAAUGACUAUAAUCUCUGGCUGAUCUAAAAGAGAGUUGUACAUCUUGUGGAUUCUGCCUUAGCGAGGAUUUCUGGUGAAUUGGUUUUGCACAUUAUUUGGAGGAGUGGGAUUGGUAAAGGAAAGGGAAAAAAGAUUAAUAUAAAUACAUUAGUGCAUGGCAACAUCGGUAUGCUAUAGUUGGAUUGUUUAGCUGCCAUAUUUGUCCUUUGGCCUUUUGAUUCUAUCAAUCAGUGUUUUGAGUUAUUUGCAACUGAAAGAGUUAAUUCUACUUUGGGUUCUUUUUUGUUUACAGAGAAGAGAUAGAGAAACAGAAGCUCUGAAAAUACAUGAGGCUGCCGAACAAGGGGAAAACAGAAAGCAAGGAAAGAUUAGGGUCGCAUGUAAUAUAUUAUAAUGAUGCAUUCUUGAAAGUACAGUUUCUAUCAUCAAUAGAUAACUUUACGCUGUUAAAUGGUAAGUUUCCUCGUAAGUUGUUGCACGUAUAGGUGGACUAUGUUCUAAGAUUUAUAAGUAAAAAAAAGAAGUUACAUUCCCAAACUUAUCACCAAUUGACAAUUUGUUACAAAAUUUGAGCUAAAUUUUAUGUAAUCCCAGAGAAGCUGUGCUCCAACAAGUGGUAAAAAUAAUCACAAAAUAUUGUUGUAGGACAAAAUUUUCGGGAGAGAGUAAUAGAUCAUGUGGAAUUAGUAAU
rnacentral:lncRNA from 1 species